GCCAUUGCUCAGGGGUAGAGAAUCUGCUUUGCAAGCAGGAGUCGCAGGUUCAAUCCCCGGUAUCUCCA